UACGGGGGGGGCAAGCGUUGUUCGGAAUUACUGGGCGUAAAGGGCUCGUAGGUGGCCAACUAAGUCAGACGUGAAAUCCCUCGGCUUAACCGGGGAACUGCGUCUGAUACUGGAUGGCUUGAGUCCGGAAGAGGCGAGUGGAAUUCCUGGUGUAGCGGUGAAAUGCGCAGAUAUCAGGAGGAACACCAAUGGCGAAGGCAGCUCGCUGGGACGGUACUGACGCUGGAGACGCGAAAGCGUGGGGAGCAAACAGG
rnacentral:rRNA from 1 species